rnacentral:lncRNA from 1 species
GGUGGUGUACGAGUGGCGGCGUGCGCCCUCGUGCCCAUCUCAGCCACAGCCCCACGGGCAGCGCCAGCUAUAUCUGGGGACAGGGGGCUACUACCCCCAAGGGGGCACACCUCCCCUCUCUCCGCGGGCUGUGCCCCUCGAGGCAGUCAACGUCGAGAUGGUGCACCCUGCAAGGACUCCCGAGUCCAGCCAAGGUGCGAGUGGGACUCCGACACCGAGGGCAGCGACGCCAUCGCCGACGCCGCUGGAACACCAGCACCACCACCACCACCGCCACCAGCACCACCAGAGGAGGCCACCUGGUGGGCUGCAGAGGAUGAAGGACGCCAUUGUCAUGGAUUCCCCCGUUGAUGGCUCGAAUGUCUGAUGACCAAUCUGAAAAUAUCUCUACAGUAUUUUAUUGGACUGCAAGAUCAGCAGAGUGAGGAAAGUUUGGAAACAUUGUGACAUUGCACCAAGGAUGGUCACCAUGGCAGCAAGACAUGGUGUCUGUCUUUUUACAACGUGUACUCAUUUUUAUUCUUUAGAAAUGUAAUGUAAGACAGGUGCUUUCUAGCUGGAAAAAAGAAAUGUUUCUGCUCAGGAUUCACUUUCUGAUGUCCUCUGAUUAGUGUAGAACCUUGCACCUAAUACUGUAUAAACAUUUCUGAUAGUGCAUCGGUAACUUACUGUGUGCAUCCAUCUGUGAAUUAGUGACUGAUACGAGGGAAACAGUAUUGGUUCUAAGAACACACAGUAUAUUAAGUUCUUCCUGAUGCUGUGAUUUUGAGUUCCACUUGGCUUUAACACUAUCAGCUUUAAAUGAGUACUUGAAAUAUGUACAAUAAUGUCACUGCAAAUGAAAAAUUAUGAUGAGUAGUAGGCCAGAAGGAGUUUCCUAAGGCCUGCUGCUGUAUUUCUGUAUUAGGUGGUUCAUAGUAUUUUUAUCUUUUGUGUUGCUCUUUACAUAUGCUGUUGUGCACUUUCAGACUUUUUUUUAUUAGUUUUUGGCUAUGAAAUGAGUGCCAUAUAUGGCAUACUUUGUCCUAUACCAAAAGACAAGAAUGUUUUAGCUGCAGCUUGCAGUAUGUAGAAAAUGUUUGUGAUGAGUAGGAUGAUAUAUUAAUUCUGAAAUGAUCUGUAGUGUACAAAGAGAAACCUAAUCUGAUAUUCAAUGCAGUAUGAAAACCCUGUCCAUCUAUUUUGGAAAUGAACUACCACAAGCUAUUUAACUAUACAUGUUCAUUUCAUGUGUCACUGUACUUAAUUAUGGGGACCAUAACAUUGAAAAACUUUUUGGGAUACAAAAGAGGUUGUGUGGUGCCCUCAAAUAGUCUUUUUUUCUAAUACAACGAGAAACAUAUGGAGCAAAUUAAUAUAAUGUCUGUAGACUAUGUGUCUGUAUAAACGCCUAAGCGCAUAUGUUGUCGCAAGAUGACGACUUCUUCUGAACGUUUGGCCUUAUAAUCUUGGACCAAGAUACCAGAUCAUUAUUUCAAAUAUUUACAAACAGUAUUUUAAAUUGUAUGUGUACUCUAGCAGUAUUAUGUGCACAAAUUAGUUAUUUACAACUAAAUGUUUACUCUUGUAGAGAAACAUAGAUAGCUGUUAAAAAUUGUUAAAGUUCUUCUCUUGUUGUUACAUUUGUGUAUAAAGACUUUUCAGUCACUCUAGCCUUGCUUGUGAAUUUGCAAGACUUGGUAGUUUUAUGGUGAACAACAGUUUACAUUCUUAAACAUCAGUGAACUGUAAGUUUGUACUAAUUUUGCCCUGGGAAAAUUCUAUUUUUCCAUUUCCUUCUUAAUACUGGUAUUCUUUCGAUGGAGGGCACUGAAUUUAUUUUUCUCCAUGAGGAGCAACAGCCAGCAAAAUGCAGUCAGAAAGUUGUAUGUUUUAGAUAUUUACAUGUCUAGAAGUAGAAUGUUUUAGUAAAAAAUUUGAUAUGUGAGCCAUUUUGGCAAAUAAGCUGAGACUGCAUUACUUCACUGAUAUAAUAUUGUAAAAACUUUUUAGUCAUUGUAAUUUUUUAUUUUAAUUUAAGGGUCUAAAUGUAAGUUCAGACCUAUUUUGUCAGUAAAUCAAAAUAUCAGGACCCACAGAGUUCAUUUAGGUAAAAAUGUCAGGUACUGCAAUCAAUCAGCUUUUACCAAAUGCAACAUCUAGUGCAAUGAAGUAUCUAGUCCAGUUAAAUCAUGAACACAUAAUAAAUGUCAGUAAGUCUUCUUAUCCACAUGAUGUAAAAACCCUGAAUGUUCUGUAUAUUUAGUUAUUGUAGGUUUUACCUUAAAUUUAAUGAGCAGAUCUAGUGUAUCUUACAAGGAAUUAUAUGAUAAAUAUUGUUUUGUAAGUCAAACUUUGUGGACUCAAAUGUUUGGAUUAAGUAGAUUUUGAUGACCGAUAAGAUGUAGUGACAAAAACCAAAAAUAUUAUGUCAAAUACUAAAUUUUAUUUUAGCAAUAUUUUAUAUCCAAUGAAAAAAAUAUAAUCUCAUUUUUAAUUAUACUUUAUUUUCACAUAUUUUGACAAUGCUUAUGUGAUGUCAACCACUUUAUAGUUAAAGAAGCAUAUGGCAUCUGUUAUGGACUUCAUGCAACCGUUUAUUUGUGGAAAUUCACCAUGAUACUGUCAAAUGGAUUUCACAUUUCCAGCUUCCAUUGUAAAAUAUUAACUGCAUGUAUCCUCUUUUUCUGUGCACUUUAUUGAUUCGAUAUUUCAUAUUACUCUAGUGUAGUUGCUUUAGCUAACCAUUUGAUAUAUCAUGUAAUGUUUCUCAGUUGUGCUGCAAGAUAAGUCAUUAUGGUUAUAAUAACGGAGAAACUGAUUGCGUUUGAGGAGCUAUUAUGAAGAACUAAAUGCAAGAUUUUUACCUGAAGAUAUAAAACCAAGCCCCUGGCAUGUUUUAUGACAAAUGUAUGCAAAAUAUGGAAAUAAGUUGUGGUAUGUUUUUGUCAGUUGUAAGUAAAAUCAAAGAUAUAGACUGUACAAAUAUGAUGAAAUAGGUAUCCGUACAUUUUUAUGUCAUUGAUUUCAGUAAGACCAAAGUUUUUUGCUCUUCAGACAUGACCCUCUUGUCCAUGCAGAAAUUUUGUUGCAAAUACAACAUGUGCACAAUACAAGCAUGUAGCCAAUUCCCAUUGUCCACAGUAGAGUGUCCAUUUGAAGCCGCUAGAACAUAAAGAACUGCAAAAUUCUUGUUGUUGCUAAUGAAGACAUAUCCCUAUUCCAAAAUAGGAACAUUAAUAGCCGUUAUGUCUCAUGUGAUUAAAUUAGGAGUUGAGAUCAAUAAGACAGGUGCACAUAUCCCCUAUCUGCUUAAGUCAAGGUGUCCACAACCAUUACCCUUCUGAUACUUUCAUCUUUGGUGUUUCAGUAUGAAGCGAAUACAGAGUUUUGAAUGGCAUCUGUUACAGUUCUGGUUCCCUCUUAAGGGGCUGAUGAUGGUGUACUUCUGACAGUUAUUUUGUGGGAAGAGAGACUUGAUGUACUGCUGACAUUGCAUGAUUUUUUUGUGAUGCUGCUGCACAUCUCAUGCGUGUGUUUGCAUCCCUGAGACACUGACAUUAUUAACACUGUUUUGUUGUUCACAGUGUUCACCAAGCAUCUUUCCCCAUUGUAUACUUCCAUUUUCUUGUUUAAAAAUCAAACAUCAAGAUAAAAAGUUUACUGAAUGCCAUGUAAGGAAACAAAAAUGCACCAAUCUGCAUGAACCUCUGAAAUUUUUCUAAUUAUUCCUGGUAUCCAAGUUAGCCCCAUAAUAAUAAAUAGUUUUACAUGAUAUAAAUAAAACUGUCUUUUAUCUGUCUUAGGAGACAUACCUCCAGUUGUCUGCAGUGUGUACACCCCCCUCCCUUUUUCAUUCCUCAUUUUUAGUAAUAAUCUUCAUCCAAGUUCCCAGCAGCCAGAUACACAGCUGCCUAUCAAAAAUUGAACAGAAUACUUAAAUCAGCCUGUGCACUGCGGCCUGUAUAUAUAGGGAACUGUGUUUAACACCUUUUCUAAAAUCAUGAGACAUCACUCAAAUUAAACACAGCUUUAUUUGUUCACAUCCAGCUUAUGGGCUCUUACCGACCUCCUAAGUUUCAACAUCACUCACCCUACUUAACCACUCAAGUCAGUUUCUUUCAUCUGUUCCACAUGAAGAAUAUCUCAAUUAUUCGAUUACCUUAGCCAUCAGUGUUAAGACCUCUGCCAGUAUUCAGCUAUUAUACAUGGUUGCCUUUUGACGGAUUUGAUACAGCCUGUCAUGAAUUCGUCUUCUGUGCCAACUCUUCAUCUCAGAGUAGCACUUGCUGGUUACAUCUGCGAGUGUUAGUUGUAUUCCAAUCACUCUCAUUCCCUACAGAUUUUACCCUCUACAUCUCCCUCUAGUACCAUCAAAGUUAUUCCCUGAUGUCUUACAUGUCCUAACAAUCUGUCCCUUCUUCUUCUCAACCGUUUCAAUAUGUGACCCAUUUUCCUUUCUUUGCUGAAUCUUCAGAUAACCUUCUCAUUCCCUGUCUUAUCAGUCCACCUAAUGUUCAACAUUGUUCUAUAGCACCACAUUUCAAAAGCUUCAAUUUACAUAGGCCAUCAUCCAGUACCAUACAAUGCUGAGUUCUAAAUACACAUUCUCAGAUAUUUCUUCAUCAUUUUAAGGCAAAUAUUUGACAUCAGAACCAGGAAUACCCUUUCUGCCUGUGCUGUUCUGCAUUUCAUGUCCACCUUGCUAUGUCCAUCAUGUGUUAUUUUACUUCCAAUGUGGCAGAACUGCUUAACUUUGUCUUCUAUGUAAUCCCCAAUUUUUAUGUUAAAUUUAUUGUUAAUCUCAUUUCUGUGACUCCUCAGUAUUUUGAUCAUUUUUCAGUCUACUCUAAAUCUAUAUUCUGUACUCAUUAGACUGUUCAUUCCAUUCAACUGGUCUUGUAAUCCUUCUUCACUUUGACUGAAGGUUCAUGCACAUGCAAGCACUCUGAAAACAAAUCCAUAUUUUGAAUCUGGCCGAGUACCAUAAGUGUACAAAGGAAUAGUAGUGCCACUAAUUAACAGUUCACAUCACAUAUACAGUUUAUGUUUUAAACAUGUUUGGUGACAGCUGCAGGUAAAUAUUUGUGAAGAACUGACAGUGAUUGAUCAUCUUUACAAUAAAACAUUUCCUGAUACAUCAGAGCUUCCCCUGCUGUUGCGUUUUCCUUUCUGUAGAUAAUCAAUGUGGAUAAUUUUACCUCUGUCAGAGAUUGCAAUUUCUUUCUCCUUGCAUGUGAGGUUACAAUAACUGCAGUUUUAAUCUCUUUGAAAUAUGAAUCUAAUCUAUAGAAAUAAACUGAUUAUCCAACAACAAAAUGAAGGGGGAAUACGUCUUAAUAAGUGUGGUGGCUUUCCAGUGAGCAAAAGCCACACAUUUUAUUCUGGUUUUAGGUUAUGUGUUAUAUGUGUGCAUGCUUUAACUUUAGAAGCCAAAGUGUCAUUUGUAGAUUUGAUACAAUUUGUUAGUGUAGGGAAACUAAAUGUAUGUAUUAGUUUUGGAGUGUAUUAGAAUGUGUUUAGAACCCUGUUCAGUGGAAUAAUGUUGGCCUACAAUAGAUGACGCUUACACCACUACUGUUUUUAAAAUCAGAGCACCAAAGUUCCAACAGAAAAACAUUUAAAAGCUAAGAGAUGUAGAAUUAUCUGUGUUAAGUUGUAAUGUGUCAAUUCUAGUAUGCAACUAGCUGAGAAAUAUUAAUGGAGAUGUGUUAUAUUAUUAUGAAGGACUGUCAGAAUUUCAUUACUAACAAUAUUGUAUUGAGUGAUGUAUAGCACCAAAUUUUCUGAAUCCUUCAUUCUGUUUUAUAUAUAAAUAUAUUUUGUAGCAAAGUUUGUACACUCAUGUCAAUGUGUACUGUUGCAGCAUUAUUUAUCAGCAAAGCUGUACAGAGAUGGAUUUAUACAGUUCAAUUAUCCAAUGUAAGAAAGUAAUUCCACAUUUUUAAAAAAUGUUAUGCAUUACGUAGUAUAGCACUUAUGAGAAAAAUACAUAUAUUAUGGCCUGUAGAUAAUGUCUAAGUUAUCUAUUAAAUUAUUAUUCUGUUUUAUUUUUUUGUUGUCAAGGACAUGACACAGCACAGCUGUAGUAAUAUUUUGCAUUGGUAGUACAUUUCUUGAAGAACAGAAGGAACCUGGAGCCCAAGGAGUAAAUUUCUCCAUAAAUAGUGUAAUCUACCAUUGAAGUACACCGUAGUUAGGCAGUGAACUGUGUACAUAAUAAUUCUGUAAUUAUUAUUGUUUAAUGUAUAGCUAUAAAUGUAUAAACUUUGGUCCAAUUGAUUUUUGUACAGUAUGUCUUGUAAUUUGCUGAACAAUGAAGUAUAUUUAAAACAUCUGUA